CGGAAUAGCUCCUGCUUGAUUUUCCUCCUGGGAAAACAGCCCCUCACCUCUGCCUUCAGUCCCUGGGCACAGAACAUCAAUGAACAUGCUUCUAGAACUUUCAUCUAUUAUGAAAAAAUAAUGCAUCAGGAGCAGCUGGUACCUGCAGGAGGAGAGUUGUGCCUUUGUCAGCUCAAACUGCAGGAAGCGCUUUGGGACCCAUGCCCUCUGCAGACACCCACCAGGCGAAGGGUCCUAUUCAGGGUGCUCCCAGCCUGGGCUCACUUCCACAGGAGACCCUUCCCUUAUGGGGGCUGGGGACAGAUUCUCACCCUGCCUGGGCACACUGCUUGAAGGAGGUCUGAUGCUCGGGCAGGGAGGAACUGUACACCGUCAGAGGAGAUCUAGGGACAAGAGCGGCUCUGCUUGAGGAGGAGGAUUGGUAUAUGUCUCCUCUUCCCCAGUCCCAGCACAGCCUGCUGGGAUAUUUUGCAAGAGAGUUCCCCAGCUCUGUAGUGGCAGUAACAGUAGCAGUUGGCCCCUUAAACGUGGGUCCAGAGCAGGCCUGGAGCUUUGUGCUCAGCCUGAGGUCAGAUGUGCUUCCUGUCUAUAAAGAAGAGGUUGACAAGAAACUUUUGAGGCUUUUCCUCUCACCAGUUCAUUUCUUGGGGAUGAAUCAGUUGGAUUUUUAAUUCACCGAUGGCAUGGAAAUAAAAUAUGGAUUAAAACACUGGCAAA